AGCAGCCGCGGUAAUUCCAGCUCCAAUAGCGUAUAUUAAAGUUGUUGCAGUUAAAAAGCUCGUAGUUGAAUUUCGGGAUCAAUACGUCGGUCGUGCUUCGGUACGUACUGGUGUCAUUGAUUUCUCCCUUCUGACGAACCAUGAUGUCAUUAACUUGGUGUCAUGGGAAAUCAGGACUGUUACUUUGAAAAAUUAGAGUGUUUAAAGCAGGCUCACGCUUGAAUACAUUAGCAUGGAAUAAUGAAAUAGGACGUUCGAUCCUAUUUUGUUGGUUUCUAGGAUCAACGUAAUGAUUAAUAGGGAUAGUUGGGGGCAUUAGUAUUCAAUUGUCAGAGGUGAAAUUCUUGGAUUUAUUGAAGACUAACUACUGCGAAAGCAUUUGCCAAGCAUGUUUUCAUUAAUCAAGAACGAAAGUUAGGGGAUCGAAGACGAUCAGAUACCGUCGUAGUCUUAACCAUAAACUAUGCCGACUAGGGAUUGGAUGAUGUUAAUUAUUUAAUGACU
rnacentral:rRNA from 1 species